rnacentral:rRNA from 1 species
UACGUAGGGUGCGAGCGUUGUCCGGAUUUAUUGGGCGUAAAGAGCUCGUAGGCGGUUUGUCGCGUCGGCCGUGAAAUCUCCACGCUUAACGUGGAGCGUGCGGUCGAUACGGGCAGACUUGAGUUCGGUAGGGGAGACUGGAAUUCCUGGUGUAGCGGUGAAAUGCGCAGAUAUCAGGAGGAACACCAGUGGCGAAGGCGCCGCUCUGGGCCGAGACUGACGCUGAGGAGCGAAAGCGUGGGUAGCAAACAGG